CAGGUGUAGCGCAAUUGGUAGCGCGUCUGCUUGCCAUGCAGAAGGUUUGCGGGUUCGAGUCCCGUCACCUG
rnacentral:tRNA from 1 species